rnacentral:rRNA from 1 species
CCUACGGGAGGCAGCAGUGAGGAAUAUUGGUCAAUGGACGCAAGUCUGAACCAGCCAUGCCGCGUGCAGGAAGACGGCUCUAUGAGUUGUAAACUGCUUUUGUACGAGGGUAAACGCAGAUACGCGUAUCUGUCUGAAAGUAUCGUACGAAUAAGGAUCGGCUAACUCCGUGCCAGCAGCCGCGGUAAUACGGAGGAUUCAAGCGUUAUCCGGAUUUAUUGGGUUUAAAGGGUGCGUAGGCGGGCGGAUAAGUUAGAGGGGAAAUCCCGGGGCUUAACUUCGGAAUUGCCAUUGAUACUGGUUGGCUUGAGGAUAGGUGAGGUAGGCGGAAUGUGUGGUGGAGCGGUGAAAAUCGUAGAGAUCA